UACGGAGGGGACUAGCGUUGUUCGGAAUUACUGGGCGUAAAGCGCACGUAGGCGGAUUUGUAAGUCAGGGGUGAAAUCCUGGAGCUCAACUCCAGAACUGCCUUUGAUACUGGAGAGCUUGAGUCCGGAAGAGGUGAGUGGAACUCCGAGUGUAGAGGUGAAAUUCGUAGAUAUUCGGAAGAACACCAGUGGCGAAGGCGGCUCACUGGUCCGGUACUGACGCUGAGGCGCGAAAGCGUGGGGAGCAAACAGG
rnacentral:rRNA from 1 species